rnacentral:lncRNA from 1 species
UCAGAUUAAUGUAUAAUGACUAAUUACACCUAGUGGUAAGUAAAAUAUUGAAUAUAUAAUUUUCUGAUUUAAUCUUUUGAUUACAAAGGUAUUGUUUGAGGAAACCCCUUCUUCGUUUUUCUCUCUCUGGUAAUUAUAUUCAAACAAACCAUUUACGUCUGAACUAUUGUCGGGCAAUUUGUUAUAUAUAAGCUGAAACUUAUGCAAUUUCAAAAAAAUAUUGUGCAUUUUAUAAAAUGUCAAUUCUGCCAGUUCUUUUGAAUUUUCAGACGAGGCAUAUUAAUUUCCUAAUAGAUGUAAUAUGUCGGGAGAAAAUGAACAACCAACCUAUAUAUUGAUUUUGGAAAAUGAGAAAACAGAUUUAUCACUUCGCUUUGUCUAUCCAGCUAUGAUCUGGUGUAAGUUUACUAUUUAUCAUUAGUGCUAGUCUUUUUAUAAAUACCAAUAAAGCAUACAAAUCAGAAAGUUGUAUUUGAAAUAUAAAAGUAAUGCAUAUAUACAUACUGACAAAAUAAAAUAAAACAAAACAAAACUGCCGUACUCCGAGCAAAUUGUUUAAACAAGUUUAAACACAUGGCAAAAUUAAAAGCACUAAAACAUCAAUUAAAUGAAUAACAACUCUCAUAUUCCUGACUUGGUACAUGCAUAUUCUAAUGUAGAAAACGGUGGAUUGAAUAGGUAAACCUCUCACUUGUAUGACAGUCGCAUACAAUUCCAUUGUAUUGACAACGGUGUGUGAACAAAAUAAACAGACAUACUAGGUACACAUAUCAACAUGAUGGCCAAUAAAAAAUGCAUGCAUAGGUUACUAUUAUAUCAAAGGUAAAGCACUUAAACAAGUCAAACAUAAAGAGUCAUGUAAAUUGUUGAAACAAAGCGUCUUCACAAAACAAUAUUUAUAUUAGACAACACGAGUAGCAUGAAUUGUAUAAUUUAUAUCCAUUUAUAUUUGUUGGAACCUAUUUUCGUAGAUACUGUAAGAUUGUAUUUUUGUAUAUUUCUGAUUUCGUGACUUUGUCAAAAUCUGCAUACAGUCUUUAUUUUUUUUUUACUUCGUGGAAAAUUUAAGUCGUAUAUCACUUGUAGUCAGGAAAAACACGAUUAUUGGUAUCAUACAAUAAUCCACAGUAUUUAAAGACCAAAAUUUUCAACAAAAGUAAAGUACUGAUACCGUAAUUCGGAGGGUGUGUCAGGAGCAGUACAACAAGUUGUCUCUUACAGAGAGCAAUAGCCGUAACACAUAAAUAUAGCUCACCAACCUGUACUCACACAAACAAAAACAAGCACAUACAUGUACUGAUUACACCAAGUUUGUGUAUGCAAAGUUGCAUUCGAUGAUGUCAUUAACAAAAAGAAGAAAAAAAACGGACCGUAGUGGGGCUAUUGAUUUUUUUACAGUUCAUGCAACUGUUUGACGUACAGGUAUGAAAAAAAGUCAAUGAUAUUUCUUUGUCUGUACUCAAAUAUUUUUGAAGAAUGUACCUCUUUGUUCAGAAUAGGAUAACCCGCCUCUCUAUUUCGAUUUAAUUGAAAACAUUGGUCUUAAGUUUUAAUUAGAGAAAUUUAAGAGAAAAAACCCAAUGCAUUUCUUUUAAAUAUAUAUAUUAGUUAGGUAUUCGCGUAGAGGGUUUUAGUCAUACCGAGCGACAAAGCAGAGGUAGACGUUAGACGAUACACAAGAACGUUCAUAAAAAUGAAUUGAUAAUUUUUCCAAAAUUAAAGUCCAUGCCCUCAGUAUAAGGUAAAGUAUAAAACACUAGCUGUUCCUUUUAACAUUGAAUUAAAAAGGGUAUUCUUCCGUAUUUAAGAAGAUAAAUUAGCGUUAUAUUACUCCUUGACGUGUGAUGAGAUUUAAGCUGAUAGGUUCCUACCUGUCAAUAUAUAAUGUGUGCUUUUCGGCACUGAUGUUUUUGGUAUCCGUAUGAGCAUUAAUUUCCUCCAUUCUAUUUUGAUAUCAACUAGCUUUUAUUGUUCUGAAUCAGAGUGCAUGACGUACAAAAGUUGCAUUUACUAGUAUCUGUUAAAUUGUUACGAGUUUUGUUAUGUCGUGCUGUUUUAUGGCUUAAUAUGCAGUAUGGGUUUUGCUACAUGGUUGUCAAAUGUGAAGCAAGCUGUGCGUACCCUUCCAGAGCACCUGAGAUCACUUCAGUUUUUGAUGACGUUCCUGUCGCUUAGUCUUUAGUUUUCUAUGUUUUGUCUUGUGUACUAUCAUUUGUUUGUUUGUCUUUUUCUUUUUAGACCAUGGUGUUGUCAGUUUCGAUCUAUGAAUUUGAAUGUCUCUCUGGUAUCGUUCACCCUUCUAUUAAAUGUGGUAUAACACUUGACAGCUGGUUGUUUUUUUCCAUUUGUUCAUUGGUUGAUCAAGUCGUAUGUUUGAUUCUGUCAAUUUCUAUGAUCUUCACCUACUUGAAAAUACUUUAGUAGAGUUCAAUGAUAGUGUAUAUAUAUUUUUAAUGGUCUUAUACUCGUGUGUGUUUCGACCGAUAAUUAUUUUUUUCAAUACAAUUCAAGAAAGUUUACAAAAACUAAGUAACAGUUAUUUUUGUUAGCAGUGUUGCUUAUUUGGUCGAUGCCAAUUGUAUCGUGGAAAGGUAUGACGAAUCUAUUCCUGCAAUCCCAGAAUGCACCACGAACGACACCUGGAACGAUACCACAAACGAUGAUGCCCUUGAUGGUA